AUUGAACGCUGGCGGCAUGCCUUACACAUGCAAGUCGAACGGUAACAGGUCUUCGGAUGCUGACGAGUGGCGAACGGGUGAGUAAUACAUCGGAACGUGCCUAGUAGCGGGGGAUAACUACGCGAAAGAGUGACUAAUACCGCAUGAGAUCUACGGAUGAAAGCAGGGGAUCGCAAGACCUUGUGCUACUAGAGCGGCCGAUGGCAGAUUAGGUAGUUGGUGGGAUAAAAGCUUACCAAGCCGACAAUCUGUAGCUGGUCUGAGAGGACGAUCAGCCACACUGGGACUGAGACACGGCCCAGACUCCUACGGGAGGCAGCAGUGGGGAAUUUUGGACAAUGGGCGAAAGCCUGAUCCAGCAAUGCCGCGUGCAGGAUGAAGGCCUUCGGGUUGUAAACUGCUUUUGUACGGAACGAAAAGCCCCGGGUUAAUACCCUGGGGUCAUGACGGUACCGUAAGAAUAAGCACCGGCUAACAACGUGCCAGCCGCCGCCGUAA
rnacentral:rRNA from 1 species